ACUGAGGAAUGAUGACAAUAAAAGGCCGAAUUGCAGUGGCUCUGUCAACAGUUGGCUCUCUGUGGGCACACGAUGACAAAAUCUCCCGAAGCGAACCAGCAGUCUGACCUCAGU